rnacentral:lncRNA from 1 species
GUGUCUUUUGAUUCGAGAUGUUUAGUCUAUGACCUUGAAAUUGAGGUCAAGGUCAAAGGUUAAUUGGACGUUCUAGAUUUUGACCUUUGCUUUAAAUUCAUAUUUAUACAUCAUAAAGCCAUAGGAACUGACAUUUUCAACUGAAUUUUAAUAUUUUCAUAUCAAAAAUAGAUCUUUAUUAGUUGAAAGACCUUCAAUUGUUCUUUGAACAAUUGGUUUUUAAUUAUUAUUAUUUUUUUUUUUUUUUUCUUCCGCCAACUUUUUUUACCUUCGCUGUUUUUUUUUUUCGCAAGAUGUCGCUUAGAUAUAUGGUAUAUGAUAUCGAACAGUUUAUACGCUUUUGAAACCAACUCUGCUUAACCGAAUACUUUCCCAAAUAAGAGUUAUCUCCCCGAACACUGUUUUUUCUUGUUAUCUCUAAGGCUUCGCAACCGUAUAAGAAACCGACAAAUUUAUUUUUCCAGAUUGCUCGUUAUAUUCUCAGGAUGUUGUGUUUUAUUUUGACCGAAGCUAUCCGGAGACUCCAUAUGAGAGGUAUCCCCCCUUUUGUAUAUGAUAUAAGUGAUAUGCAUUUCUUACUGGUGAACCAUAAGUGAUAGAGACCUAGGGUCUUUUGAUUUAAGAUCCUUGGUCCAAAAAAAGAAAAUUAGGUCAAGGUCAAAGGUCAAGGUCAAAUUCUAAAUUUUGAUUUUGGCUUAUUUUCACUUAUUUUCAUUAACCUUAUAAGAUAUUGACAAAUUAUUUUUACUAAAUUGUUAGUUGCGACAUGUCGUAACUUAUUAAUUUUGGUUGCAAGGGUGCGUAGACAAUAAAUGGGAGUUUUCGCCCCUCUUAUAUUUAGAAUUAUGCGUAAAGUGAUAUUACUCAUGAACCAUACAUAUUAAGGAAUUGGUGUCUUUUGAUUCGAGAUGUUUAGUCUAUGACCUUGAAAUUGAGGUCAAGGUCAAAGGUUAAUUGGACGUUCUAGAUUUUGACCUUUGCUUUAAAUUCAUAUUUAUACAUCAUAAAGCCAUAGGAACUGACAUUUUCAACUGAAUUUUAAUAUUUUCAUAUCAAAAUAGAUCUUUAUUAGUUGAAAGACCUUCAAUUGUUCUUUGAACAAUUGGUUUUUUAAUUAUUUAUUAUUAUUUUUUUUUUUUCUUCCGCCAACUUUUUUUACCUUCGCUGUUUUUUUCUUUCGCAAGAUGUCGCUUAGAUAUAUGGUAUAUGAUAUCGAACAGUUUAUACGCUUUUGAAACCAACUCUGCUUAACCGAAUACUUUCCCAAAUAAGAGUUAUCUCCCCGAACACUGUUUUUCUUGUUAUCUCUAAGGCUUCGCAACCGUAUAAGAAACCGACAAAUUUAUUUUUCCAGAUUGCUCGUUAUAUUCUCAGGAUGUUGUGUUUUAUUUUGACCGAAGCUAUCCGGAGACUCCAUAUGAGAGGUAUCCCCCCUUUUGUAUAUGAUAUAAGUGAUAUGCAUUUCUUACUGGUGAACCAUAAGUGAUAGAGACCUAGGGUCUUUUGAUUUAAGAUCCUUGGUCCAAAAAAAAGAAAAUUAGGUCAAGGUCAAAGGUCAAGGUCAAAUUCUAAAUUUUGAUUUUGGCUUAUUUUCACUUAUUUUCAUUAACCUUAUAAGAUAUUGACAAAUUAUUUUUACUAAAUUGUUUGUUGCGACAUGUCGUAACUUAUAAAUAUUGGUUGCAAGGGUGCGUAGACAAUAAAUGGGAGUUUUGGCCCCUCUUAUAUUUAGAAUUAUGCGUAAAGUGAUAUUACUCAUGAACCAUACAUAUUAAGGAACUAGUGUCUUUUGAUUCGAGAUGUUUAGUCUAUGACCUUGAAAUUGAGGUCAAGUUCAAAGGUUAAUUGGACGUUCUAGAUUUUGACCUUUGCUUUAAAUUCAUAUUUAUACAUCAUAAAGCCAUAGGAACUGACAUUUUCAACUGAAUUUUAAUAUUUUCAUAUCAAAAUAGAUCUUUAUUAGUUGAAAGACCUUCAAUUGUUCUCUUAACAAUUGGUUUUUAAUUAUUUUUUUUUUUUCUUCCGCCUAAUUUGUUUCCUUCGCUGUUUUUUUGUUUCGCAAGAUGUCGCUUAGAUUUUUGGAAUAUGAUAUCGAACAGUUUAUACGCUUUUGAAACCAACUCGUUUUAACCGAAUACUUUCCCAAAUAAGAGUUAUCUCCCCGAACACUGUUUUUCUUGUUAUCUCUAAGGCUUCGCAACCGUAUAAGAAACCGACAAAUUUAUUUUUCCAAAUUGCUCGUUAUAUCCUCAGGAUGUUCUGUUUUAUUUUGACCGAAGCCGUAUAUAGAUUCCAUAUGAGAGUUAUCCCCCCUUUUAUGUUUGAUAUAAGAAUUUGCAUUUCAAACUGGUAAACCAUAAGUGAUAGAGACCUAGGGUCUUUUGAUUUGAGGUCCUUGGUCCAAAAAAAUGAAAAUAAGGUCAAGGUCAAAGGUCAAGGUCAUAUUAUAAAUUUUGAUUUUGGCUUAUUUUCACUUAUUUUCAAAAGCCGUAUAACUUAUCGACAAAUUAUUUUUACUAAAUUGUUAGUAUCGACAUGUCGUACCUCAUAAAUUUUGGUUGAAAGGGUGCGUAGACAAUAAAUGGGAGUUUUCGCCCUUCUUAUGUUUAGAAUUAUGCGUAAAGUGAUAUUACUCAUAAACCAUACAUAUUAAGGAACUAGUGUCUUAAGGUUUGAGAUCCUUAGUCUAUGACCCUGAAAUUGAGGUCAAGGUCAUAGGUUAAUUGGACGUUCUAGAUUUUGACCUUUGCUCCAAAUUCAUAUUUAGACAUCAUAAAGUCAUAGGAACUGACAUAUCAACUGAAUUUUCAAUAUUUUCACAUCAAAAUAUGUUGAAAGUGGUGGAAAGACCAUCAAUGGUUCUCUGAACAAUUGGUUUUUAAUUAUUAUUAAUAUUAUUUUUUUUUUUUUUUUCUUCCGCCUAAUUUGUUUCCUUCGCUGUUUUUGUGUUUCGCAAGAUGUCGCUUAGAAUUUUUGGAAUAUGAUAUCGAACAGUUUAUACGCUUUUGAAACCAACUCGUUUUAACCGCAUACUUUCCCAUAUAAGAGUUAUCUCCCCAAACACUGUUUUUCUUGUUAUCUCUAAGGCUUCGCAACCGUAUAAGAAACCGACAAAUUUGUUUUUCCAAAUUGCUCGUUAUAUCCUUAGGAUGUUCUGUUUUAUUUUGACCGAAGCCGUAUAUAGAUUCCAUAUGACAGUUAUCCCCCCUUUUAUGUUCGAUAUAAUAAUUUGCAUUUCUAACUGGUAAACCAUAAGUGAUAGAGACCUAGGGUCUUUUGAUUUGAGGUCUUUGGUCCAAAAAAAUGAAAAAAUAAGGUCAAGGUCAAAGGUCAAGGUCAUAUUAUAAAAUUUGAUUUUGGCUGAUUCUCACUUAUUUUCAAAAGCCGUAUAACUUAUCGACAAAUUAUUUUUACUAAAUUGUUAGUUGCGACAUGUGGUAACACGUAGAUUUUAGUCGAAAGAGUACGUAGACAUUUGAUGCCAGUUUUGCCCCCUUUUAUAUCCAAUAUUAGUUGUAAGGUAAUACAACUCAUUAACUAUAUAUAGUAGAGGCCUAGAGUCUUUUGAUUUGAGGUCCUUGGUUGAUGACCUCGAAAUUGAGCUCAAGGUCAUAGGUAAAUGUAACGUUCUAGAUUUUGACCUUUGCUUUUACCUCAUAUGUAUACAUGAUCAAGACUUGGGACUUUUAAAAUUAGGUUGCAAGCAAUUUGAUCUAGAAAAAAGACAACCGGAAGUGACCUUUU